CCUACGGUGCGCAGCAGUCGAGAAUCAUUCACAAUGGGGGAAACCCUGAUGGUGCGACGCCGCGUGGGGGAAUGAAGGUCUUCGGAUUGUAAACCCCUGUCAUGUGGGAGCAAAUUAAAAAGAUAGUACCACAAGAGGAAGAGACGACUAACUCUGUGCCAGAAGCCGCGGUAAUACAGAGGUCUCAAGCGUUGUUCGGAAUCACUGGGCGUAAAGCGUGCGUAGGCUGUUUCGUAAGUCGUGUGUGAAAGGCGCGGGCUCAACCCGCGGACGGCACAUGAUACUGCGAGACUAGAGUGAGGGAGGGGGAACCGGAAUUCGCGGUGUAGCAGUGAAAUGCGUAGAUAUCGAGCGGAACACUCGUGGCGAAGGCGGGUUCCUGGACAUUAACUGACGCUGAGGCACGAAGGCCAGGGGAGCGAAAGGGAUUAGAUACCCUUGUAGUC
rnacentral:rRNA from 1 species